rnacentral:rRNA from 1 species
GAGACCGGGAGAGGUUAGAGGUACUCCCAGGGUAGAGGUGAAACUCUGUAAUCCUGGGAGGACCGCCUGUUGCGAAGGCGUCUAACUGGAACGGUUCUGACGGUGAGGGACGAAAGUUAGGGGCGCGAACCGGAUUAGAUACCCGGGUAGUCCUAACUGUAAACGAUGCGGACUUGGUGUUGGGGUGGCUUUGAGCUGCUCCAGUGCCGAAGGGAAGCUGUUAAGUCCGCCGCCUGGGAAGUACGGUCGCAAGACUGAAACUUAAGGAAUUGGCGGGGGAGCACCACAACGCGUGGAGCCUGCCGGUUUAAUUGGAUUCAACGCCGGACAUCUCACCAGAGGCGACAGCUGUAUGAUAGCCAGGUUGAUGACUUUGCUUGACUAGCUGAGAGGUGGUGCAUGG